ACCCUAAUCUCGCACACGACAACCGCCAUCAAACCAAAUCUCAUCUUUCUCUCUUUAUCUCUUCACCCUCACGACGUAACGUGUUCUUCCCUGACUCCCGGCAACAUCACACACGAGCAGCGUACCACCACCUGUCUCCACCAAAGACAGAAUCGAUGCCCUGGAAGUCCACCUUUUCCGUCACCGGUGUCUGCCACUUCUACCUUCUAUCAAGACGAGUAACCCUAACCCUAUCCCGCUGCCACGAUCAACCACCCUCUGGUCAAUGCCGCGGCCCUGGAAGUCAACCUUUUCGUUCGAUUCUUAGCAAACCACAACGAUCUUUUGGGAGUAUAAACCCUCGAUAAUAGGGAAAAAAGAAGUGAUGUAUGAUGGAUCUACCUUGCUUUUCUACCAUGGUGCGUUAAGUCUGUAAAUUUACCCCAGUGUCCAAUUUCCAUUCCUCCCAUUUACAGGUUAAUGAUGAAGUAAAUAGAUAGGAAAGGAACAGUAAAAAUCCAUGGAAAAUAAUGGUUGAUGUGAAGGUGCCCUUAGCAUAUUGUGGAUGAUCCAUAUGCAAACGAUUCAACAAGCAUGGGGAUGACAAUUCCAAUAUUCCAUCCUUCUAAUCUCAAAGUAACCAAUCCCAACAUUAAUAGACCCAAUUCCAACCAUAUCAAGCUCUUUGGCCAUUACCUGGUCUUUCUUUCCAACAAAUGAAGCCUGAUUAUGUUCUAAAUAGUAAGUUAGUAAGAUUUUAUUGUUCACUUUCGUUAUCUUCACAACAAAGAUGGCGUAGUUGUGAUCAUUUUGAUGAUAAUCACCAAGUAAUGCAAAGGCUAUAAAAUAGAAUACAUAAUGCAAAGAUGGCAUAGUUUGUGUCUUUAAUUUGUUUGUUCCGGGUUAUCCUGAUGUUCAUUUUGAGUUUUCCGUGUCUUUUUAUAUGUUUUUAUGUUGGAUGUGUGGGUGUUGAUGAUUUUUCAUUGUAGAAAAGAAACCAGGGGCUUUGUUCGAUGUUGGUUUCCAGGUUUGUUUUUUGUUUUCUAAUAGGAACCUUUUAGGUUUGAGUGAGUUAUCUAUGUCUUUUUGUACAAUGUUGGUUCCCAGCUUUGUUGCUUUUGUUGUCAAUUUGAUAUUUUUUUUGCAAGUUUAUCCUUUAAACAUAUCCAUGCUUAGUAAAGUAUUUUUGAAAUAACGUGCUCUUGAUCAGCUCCGUAUAAGGAAUCCCUACGUAUCCCAAGCCAUGUUCAGACAAAGAAAUAUGUUGAAGUUAUGGAUGCAUUCUCUUUUUGAGGAUGUACGUUGACUAUUUUCAAUAUUGGGAUGGACUUUUGGAUUAAACUGAUCAUUGAAUGAAGAAUCACAGAAGCAUAUCACUUUAAUUAUUUGUCUCCCAAGUUUAUUUUCUUCUUUUGUCCUCUUUAUUUUUUAUCAACUUUACAUCUGAUGGAGAAAUAUCAUUUUUUAUUGCAAGCGAUUAAAAUGAAAAGCUUCAUCAUUUUGUCCUCUUUGUACUUUGAAAUCAAAAGUUUAUUAUUUUAUUAUAUUGUUAUAAAUGAAUGAUA